rnacentral:ncRNA from 1 species
GAAACGCGAAUCAAGCAGACGUGGAAACGUCGUGAGACUUGGAGCUGGCCUUGGUAACAAGGCCAUGCG